rnacentral:rRNA from 1 species
AGUCAGUAGGAGUAGACCCGAAACCGGGUGAUCUAUCCAUGUCCAGGUUGAAGCUGCCGUAAGAGGUAGUGGAGGACCGAACCCACAUCCGUUGAAAAGGGUGGGGAUGAGGUGUGGAUAGGGGAGAAAUUCCAAUCGAACCCGGAGAUAGCUGGUUCUCCUCGAAAUAGCUUUAGGGCUAGCCUCGAUACAGAUUUGCGGAGGUAGAGCACUGAAUUUCCUAGGGGGCGUCAAAGCCUACCGAAGAAUAUCAAACUCCGAAUGCCGCGUAAUCGAUUAUCGGGAGUCAGACUGCACGAGAUAAGUUGGGCGGUCAAAAGGGAAAGAGCCCAGACCUUCAGUUAAGGUCCCCAAGUGCGCGUUAAGUGGAAAAGGAUGUGGGAUUUCGAAGACAACCAGGAUGUUGGCUCAGAAGCAGCCAUCCAUUCAAAGAGUGCGUAAUAGCUCACUGGUCGAGAGGUCCUGCGCCGAAAAUGUCCGGGGCUGAAACGCGCCACCGAAACUAAGGAACCGAAAGGUUGGUAGAGGAGCAUUGCAUGCGGGAAGAAGCAGUACCG